GGCCUCAUCGGCCGGAAGGGAUUCCUUCUGGUCGAUGAGGCUGUUCCACCUCAUCAAUCGGAAGGAAUUCCUUCCGGUCGAUGGGGUU
rnacentral:miRNA from 1 species